rnacentral:misc_RNA from 1 species
GAUGAAGAACGUAUCGAAAUGCGAUAAGUAGUGUGAAUUGCAGAAUUCAGUGAAUCAUCGAAUCUUUGAACGCACAUUGCGCCCCUUGGUAUUCCAUGGGGCAUGCCUGUUCGAGCGUCAUUUGUACCCUCAAGCUAAGCUUGGUGUUGGGUGUUUGUCCACUCCCUCGUGUUUGGACUCGCCUUAAAACAAUUGGCAGCCAGUGUUUUGGUAUUGAAGCGCAGCACAAUUUGCGAUUCUAGCCUAGAAUACUAGCAUCCAUCAAGUCAUUUUUAACGCUUGACCUCGGAUCAGGUAGGGAUACCCGCUGAACUUAAGCAUAUCAAUAAGCGGAGGA